rnacentral:rRNA from 1 species
AGUGUGGUAGGGGAGCGUUCUGUUGACGGUGAAGGUUACGGUGUAAGCCGGACUGG